rnacentral:rRNA from 1 species
UGGGGAAUUUUGGACAAUGGGCGAAAGCCUGAUCCAGCAAUGCCGCGUGUGUGAAGAAGGCCUUCGGGUUGUAAAGCACUUUUGUCCGGAAAGAAAUCCUUGGCUCUAAUACAGUCGGGGGAUGACGGUACCGGAAGAAUAAGCACCGGCUAACUACGUGCCAGCAGCCGCGGUAAUACGUAGGGUGCAAGCGUUAAUCGGAAUUACUGGGCGUAAAGCGUGCGCAGGCGGUUUGCUAAGACCGAUGUGAAAUCCCCGGGCUCAACCUGGGAACUGCAUUGGUGACUGGCAGGCUAGAGUAUGGCAGAGGGGGGUAGAAUUCCACGUGUAGCAGUGAAAUGCGUAGAGAUGUGGAGGAAUACCGAUGGCGAAGGCAGCCCCCUGGGCCAAUACUGACGCUCAUGCACGAAAGCGUGGGGAGCAAACAGGAUUAGAUACCCUGGUAGUCCACGCCCUAAACGAUGUCAACUAGUUGUUGGGGGACUUCAUUUCCUUAGUAACGUAGCUAACGCGUGAAGUUGACCGCCUGGGGAGUACGGUCG